rnacentral:tRNA from 1 species
GACCCAUUAGCUCAGUAGGUAGAGCACUUGACUUUUAAUCAAGGUGUCCCGCGUUCGAGCCGCGGAUGGGUCACCA